rnacentral:lncRNA from 1 species
CGAUAAGACUGAAUAAUGGUAAACUAUAAUUUUUACAUUUCAAAAGUUUCUAGAAAAAAUGACAGGAAGAACAAUACUCAAUAAAAAGCUGUGCCUAGUGCAGCUAGAUAAGGACAAAACAUGACCUGACUGCAAGGGCCUACUUCGACAUAACUAGGUCUCAAAUUGACACGGUUCAGUAAAAAUUGUCAUGAGGUAGAAUAUAUCCAAGGUCAAGGCCAUCAAGAAAAUCCCUUAAAGUUUCCCCGUCUUCUUGUCAAAAACUAAUAAACAGUUAUUUUACAAGAAUUAACUUAUUUCAUUUCCAUUUGGCAAGGAAUAUUCUAUAGACAUGAAGGCGACUUACAAUGUAUUAACGUGUCAAACAUUUUUCUUCAUGGGUUGUCAAACUGUAGAGAAAAAUGAUAAAUGCUGUUUUAGUCCAUAUCAUUUCUUUAUUACAGUUAUCAUGUUGGUUGAUUGUUGCCAAUUUUUAGUUAAACUGGUUGAAUGAUUAAAGAAUGAGGGGUUAUUUAAAGUAUCUUCUUUUUAUGGAUAAUCCAAUGCACAAAUGUCUUCAGCUCAUGUGAAAACAAACAAGUGAAAAUGUAAUAUGCGAUUUAAGAUAACUAACUUAUGCUGUCACUCAUGCUUUGGGUAUUACCAAUGGUAACAAUUGUUAACAUACUUAAUACACGUACAUCAUGGACGAAUAUAAUAACAAGUUUUAUUAUAAAUAUCUU